UUAAAGGUCCUUUUCAGGGCCACUACAUGUUUUGUGAAGGAGGUAA
rfam:Rattus norvegicus chromosome 17, whole genome shotgun sequence.